rnacentral:rRNA from 1 species
AACGAACGCUGGCGGCAUGCCUAACACAUGCAAGUCGAACGAUCCCUUCGGGGAUAGUGGCGCACGGGUGCGUAACGCGUGGGAACCUUCCCUUAGGUUCGGAAUAACUCAGAGAAAUUUGAGCUAAUACCGGAUAAUGUCUUCGGACCAAAGAUUUAUCGCCUUUGGAUGGGCCCGCGUUGGAUUAGCUAGUUGGUGGGGUAAAGGCCUACCAAGGCGACGAUCCAUAGCUGGUCUGAGAGGAUGAUCAGCCACACUGGGACUGAGACACGGCCCAGACUCCUACGGGAGGCAGGAGUGGGGAAUAUUGGACAAUGGGCGAAAGCCUGAUCCAGCAAUGCCGCGUGAGUGAUGAAGGCAUUAGGGUUGUAAAGCUCUUUUAACCGGGAUGAUAAUGACAGUACCGGGAGAAUAAGCCCCGGCUAACUCCGUG